rnacentral:tRNA from 1 species
GGGGUUGUAGCUCAGUGGUAGAGCACUUGCCUAGCAUGUGUGAGGCCCUGGGUUCGAUCCCCAGCACCACA